CGGGGGGCGGGGCCCGGCUGCGAAAGCCCCGCCCCUGCGCCCACGUCGCCUAGGCGACCGGCCGCGCGCGCGCUCCCGGGAGGCUUAGAUAAACAACCACCUGGGCCACCCGACAACAGCCCACCCCGUCGAACCCAGCGGGUAGGGGGCAUACUGAGCAUGCGCAGUUCUCCACCCAGCGAUGGGAGGUUUCUACCUGAACAGGCCACGUUCAAGACUUUAGCGGAGACAGGCUAGUUGGAGGGGCCAGAGCAGGCUCCGAGAUUUAACCUUAGGCGGGAGUGAGAAGAGAGACACCGGCAGGGCCCAAACGGCGACCCUGGCACGAGGGCCUGGCUGGACACCACCCGGUCCGUCAGCAUUCCUGAGGGACUUGUUUUUAUAAAGAGAAGGAGAAGGCUCUUUGUUUUAGGGAGGAGCAGGCACACCACGAAAGGAAGCUUUUAUUUUACGCCUUAGGACACUCGGGGAGACGCGAGAGGCCCCUGGGAGCUUACUGCCCGAGGCAGUAGCCGGGGCCCACGCCCGGUGACGUCGCCGGGGGUCCCGCCCACCUUCCCCAGCCCCGCCCUUUUCUUGGCCUGAGAGAGAGUCGAGCUCUUCCCACGCCCUGUCCCCACGGGCGCUUGGAAAAUCGGGAGAGCGGAGCCCUCAGCCACAGCCCCAAAGCCCGGGGACACCUCAUAGCAACAGCCAGCCGGGACAAGCUAGGGAUCCAUCUCAGCCAACCAGCCCACCUCUGUGGACCCCGUGGUGCCACCCUCGGCCAAUGGAGAGCCGCCUUAUACCACGUUGCCAUCCAUCAGCCAGUGGGGGGAAAAGUCCAGUUGCAGGCUCCGCCCUCCCAUCGCAAACUGCGUGGCCAGGAUGGGCCUUUGCGCCUGAGCGUGCUCUGCCAGCCAAUGGUCCCCAGGAGUUGAGAAGCUAUGACCUGGAAUGCAUCUGUUAGAAGUUGUCACACACAAAAAAAUAGUGAAUGGAGUGCCCGUUUACUCCUCUUAGCCUUAGAGAGAGAGGAGAAGUUUUGGGGGACAUUUCUUAGGUUAUUUUCCCUGGUCUUUCAUCAGUGUGGACUUUAUUGAUGAGGAGAAGCUGUAGAGAGACUGCGGCUGUUGGAGUAGUCGUACCUCAUUUAUAUUUCUCACAAUGACAGGCCUCAGUUUUCAUUCUCAGUGUUGCCAUAAAGAUAGAUUUUUAAUCACGCAGACAAACAUGUUAAGUAGGAGCAUAUUUUCUUACUUAUUCUGUCUUGGUCAUGACUUGAUUUGAGGCUCAGUGUGAAAUGCUGGUUGAAGAAUUAGCUGCUGUAUGUUGAAAUGUGGAGAAAAUUUUGAAGAUUUGGGUGGGAAUUGGGUGUGUAUCUUCUGAUCCCUUAAUCGUGUUGAUUGCUAUGCUAGCAUGAACUAUCUAUUCUGAGAGUGAUUUUAGAAAUAAAAUAUCUCCAUUCAUUUGUUCAUGGAAAACAAAAUAAAAAUGAGAUAGAAUGAAAUUGAAUUUUCCCCGAGAGUGGUAAAUCUGUAUGCUAGUGAAAACUUAAUAGUGUACACUGACAUUUUAGGAUCUCUUUAGCUUCAGAAGUGCACUGCUGGAAGAAAGAGAGAGAGAGAGAGAAACUUCAUUUCUCCUCUCCUCACUGAAUCUGAGAGUUAUCUCACCUAUGCCCA
ensembl:lncRNA